ensembl:misc_RNA Y_RNA Y RNA
AAAACAAUUGUGUUUACAAGUAAUUGAUCACAACUAGUUACAGAUUGCUUUGUUCCUUCUCCACUCUCACUGCUUCACUU